AUGCAGCACAAGGUAGAAGGUUCGUCGCCUGCGGCGGAUGACUUGCGGCUCCCUCGAUCUUUGGUGCGCUGGAUCUUUCCAGAAAAUACUCCCAUAUGUUGCCCUUUUUCUUCAGAAUCCUUACCUGUUUGUUCUAAGCACAUGGCUACCUUCCUAGAGAAAAGAGUAAUGGAUGGAGAAUUCUGGCACACUCUCGACCUAGACGUAGAACCAAAACGCUGCCUUCCAGUCUCUGUAUCCGCUGAUAUCUCAAUCCUUUGGAUCGUUUCUUUCUUCUUAUGCAGUUCUCUGGAGCCGCUUAUAUUUUAUUUUUAA
rnacentral:rRNA from 1 species